GACGAACGCUGGCGGCGUGCUUAACACAUGCAAGUCGAACGGAAAGGCCAUGCAUCUGUGGGGUGCUCGAGCGGCGAACGGGUGAGUAACACGUGAGUAACCUGCUCUCGACUUUGGGAUAACAACAGGUAAAUGGGGUUAAUACCGGAUCGGAGCUCCUGAUGCAUGGAGGGGGUGGGACAGUUUCGGCGGGUGGGGAUGGACUCGCGGGUUAUCAGCUCGUUGGUGGGGUAGUGGCUGACCACGGCAUUGACGGGUAGCCGGCCUGGGAGGGUGACCGGGCACAAGGGGACUGAGAGACGGCGCAGACGGCAACGGGAGACAGAGGGGGGGAAUAUUGCGCAAUGGGGGGGAGCCUGAGACGGCAGCGCCGCGGGCGUAAAGUCGGCCUUGGGGUGGUGAACCGCUUUCGCCUGUGACGAAGCGUGAGUGACGGUAAUGGGAAAAGAAGCACCGGCUAACUACGUG
rnacentral:rRNA from 1 species